rnacentral:tRNA from 1 species
AGGGGCUUAGGUUAAAUAAACUGCUGGCCUUCAAAGCCUGCGUUAAGCAAAAAAAUGCUUAGCCUCUG